CGCCCAAGAGCUAGCCCCCUCACCUAAAAGCAACAAACCCUAUCAAUACCCCCUAAUACACAAUUUAACCAUAAAACAAACCAUUUUACCCCCUUAGUAUGGGCGACAGAAAAGGGGCCUGUGGAGCUAUAGAAAAAGUACCGCAAGGGAACGCUGAAAGAGAAAUGAAACAAACCAGUAAAGCCAAAAAAAGCAGAGUUUUCCCCUCGUACCUUUUGCAUCAUGAUUUAACUAGUAAAAAUUAAGCAAAGAGCACUUUAGUUUAAUUCCCCGAAACUAGGUGAGCUACUCCAAGGCAGCCUAAUUUAUAGGGCACACCCGUCUCUGUGGCAAAAGAGUGGGAAGACCUUCGAGUAGAAGUGAUAGACCUAUCGAACCUAGUUAUAGCUGGUUGCCUGAGAACUGGAUAGGAGUUCAGCCUCUCGGAUUCUUCCGUCAACACAUAAUAUUCAAGGGCCCCCGCCCUUCAACCGACACAACAGAAACCAAGGGAGUUAGUCAAAGGGGGUACAGCCCCUUUGACAUAAGACACAACUUUCCAUGGCGGGUAAUGAUCACAUAAUUCAAGGCACAGUAUUCUGGUGGGCCUAAAAGCAGCCAUCCUUAAAGAAUGCGUUAAAGCUCAGACAUACUUUCCCCUUAUAUUCUGACAUCCUAAUCAUAACCCCCUAAGUUUACCAGGCCCUCCUAUGUAAAUAUAGGAGAGUUAAUGCUAAGAUGAGUAAUAAGAGGGCUCACCUCCAGCCCUCUCUCCCGCACACGUGUACCUCGAAACGGACCCACCGCCGAACCUUAACGACCCCAAUAAAAGAGGGGACUGAAUUAUGAAUAAAAAACUAGAAAACCAUUCAAAAACUACCGUUAACCCUACACUGGCGUGCCUUCAGAGAAAGACUAAAAGAGGGAGAAGGAACUCGGCAAACACAAGCCUCGCCUGUUUACCAAAAACAUCGCCUCUUGCAAACUUAUGAAUAAGAGGUCUUGCCUGCCCUGUGACUAUAUGUUUAACGGCCGCGGUAUCUUAACCGUGCGAAGGUAGCGCAAUCACUUGUCUUUUAAAUGGGGACCUGUAUGAACGGCAUAACGAGGGCUUGACUGUCUCCUCUCUCAAGUCAAUGAAAUUGAUCUCCCCGUGCAGAAGCGGGGAUUAAUACAUAAGACGAGAAGACCCUAUGGAGCUUUAGACACAAGACAGAUUACCUCUUCUAACCCAAUACAGAAGACGAAAUUAGAGGUAGACCUUUCCAGCGUCUUUGGUUGGGGCGACCGUGGGGUAAGACAAAACCCCCAUGAGGAAAAGGAGCACCCCUCCUUCAACCCAGAGUUCCCACUCUAAGGAACAGAAUUUUUGACCAAUUAAUGAUCCGGCACCGCCGAUUAACGAACUAAGUUACCCUAGGGAUAACAGCGCAAUCCCCUUUAAGAGCCCAUAUCGACAAGGGGGUUUACGACCUCGAUGUUGGAUCAGGACAUCCUAAUGGUGCAGCCGCUAUUAAGGGUUCGUUGUUCAACGAUUAAAGUCCUACGUGAUCUGAGUUCAGACCGGAGUAAUCCAGGUCGGUUUCUAUCUAUGACAUUAUCUCUUCUAGUACGAAAGGACCGAAAAGAAGGGGCCUACUCCAAUUGGCGCGCCUCCCCCUUACCUAAUGAACCCAACUAAAUUAGACAAAAGGACAUAAUUACGCAACUAAAGAAAAUAGUAU
rnacentral:rRNA from 1 species